rnacentral:rRNA from 1 species
CCUACGGGAGGCAGCAGUGGGGAAUAUUGGACAAUGGGCGAAAGCCUGAUCCAGCAAUGCCGCGUGAGUGAUGAAGGCCUUCGGGUCGUAAAGCUCUUUUACCAGGGAUGAUAAUGACAGUACCUGGAGAAUAAGCUCCGGCUAACUCCGUGCCAGCAGCCGCGGUAAUACGGAGGGAGCUAGCGUUGUUCGGAAUUACUGGGCGUAAAGAGUACGUAGGCGGUUAUUCAAGUCAGAGGUGAAAGCCCGGGGCUCAACCCCGGAACUGCCUUUGAAACUAGAUAACUAGAGUCUUGGAGAGGUUAGUGGAAUUCCGAGUGUAGAGGUGAAAUUCGUAGAUAUUCGGAAGAACACCAGUGGCGAAGGCGACUAACUGGACAAGUACUGACGCUGAGGUACGAAAGCGUGGGGAGCAAACAGGAUUAGAUACCCUGGUAGUCCACGCCGUAAACGAUGAUAACUAGUUGUUCGGUCACUUGGUGACUGAGUGACGCAGCUAACGCAUUAAGUUAUCCGCCUGGGGAGUACGGUGCAAGAUUAAAACUCAAAUGAAUUGACG